rnacentral:rRNA from 1 species
UACGUAGGGGGCAAGCGUUGUCCGGAUUUAUUGGGCGUAAAGAGCGUGUAGGCGGCCAGAUAGGUCCUCUGUGAAAACUCGAGGCUUAACCUCGAGAUGUCGGUGGAAACCAUUUGGCUAGAGUCCGGAAGAGGAGAGUGGAAUUCCCGGUGUAGCGGUGAAAUGCGCAGAUAUCGGGAAGAACACCCGUGGCGAAGGCGGCUCUCUGGGACGGUACUGACGCUGAGACGCGAAAGCGUGGGGAGCGAACAGG